AGGCUUAACACAUGCAAGUCGAGCGGGCGUAGCAAUACGUCAGCGGCAGACGGGUGAGUAACGCGUGGGAACGUACCUUUUGGUUCGGAACAACCCAGGGAAACUUGGGCUAAUACCGGAUAAGCCCUUACGGGGAAAGAUUUAUCGCCGAAAGAUCGGCCCGCGUCUGAUUAGCUAGUUGGUGAGGUAAUGGCUCACCAAGGCGACGAUCAGUAGCUGGUCUGAGAGGA
rnacentral:rRNA from 1 species